UACAGAGGUCUCAAGCGUUGUUCGGAUUCAUUGGGCGUAAAGGGUGCGUAGGCGGCGCGGUAAGUCUGGUGUGAAAUCUCGGAGCUCAACUCCGAAAUUGCACCGGAUACUGCGUGACUCGAGGACUGUAGAGGAGAUCGGAAUUCACGGUGUAGCAGUGAAAUGCGUAGAUAUCAAGAGGAACACCUGAGGUGAAGACGGGUUGCUGAGCCGACACUGACGCUGAUGCGCGAAAGCCAGGGGAGCAAACGGG
rnacentral:rRNA from 1 species